GCAUCGGACAAGACUAGCGCGAGAGAGUCCUGCGACGAGGCUAACCUACUUGCUGCUCUGCUGCUGCUCGUGUUUAAUUAAUUGCUUCAAAACUGAUUGAGAUUAGUGUGUACAAGGAGUUGUGAUAAAACUGUUAAAUUGUGGAAUGUAAGAAACAAUUGAGGUGUCGCAGGCACUCUUGAUCAACAGGAAAAGGUCUGACCCUCUGUGUACCAUCUAUGCAUUUGAUUUUCUUCCAUUUUGUGAUUAUAGGUUUAUACUAUGGAUGUUAGUCAAGAGAAACUGAUUGUUGGCUUGAAAGGAAGACACGUGUUGAUCUGGGAUCUUAGAAACACUAGUCAGCCUUUGUGGUGAAGGGAGUCGAAUCUGAAAUACCAAACUCAUUCAAUUAGGUGCUUUUCUAAUGGCCAAGGUCCACACAGAUAGUCAUUGAUGGCUCGUUACUGGCCAUAGCAUCAUCCUACAUGCUAGUAGAAGGAGAGAAAGAGAGUCCUUCAAGAGACACUAUUAUUAUUCGUCACGUGAUGGACAUGGAGACAAAGCCUAAGUGAAAGGAAUUGUUGUACAUUUUAGUGACAAGUGAGAGACAGUGUGGUACUAGCUGGAACUGUUGCAGUAAUGUCAUCAAACUAACGAUACGUGCAGGCUCUUUCAUGUUAGAAAUACGUCAUGAUCACAUGUUUUACAACACAAUCAUGUACAUCUACCACGAUCCUUUCUGGAUAUCUGACUUCUAUUGGCGGUCACUCGGUUCACACAAGUUUUCGAGUCGAGAAAAGUUUCG